CAUUUGUUCUCUAAAUAGGGACUUGUAUGAAUGGCCACACGAGGGUUUAACUGUCUCUUACUCCCAAUCAGUGAAAUUGACCUUCCCGUGAAGAGGCGGGAAUACCACAAUAAGACGAGAAGACCCUAUGGAGCUUUAAUUAACUAACCCAAACUCAUGGAUACUAGAUACCUACAAGGCAUAACAUAACACCAUUAUUAUGGGUUAGCAAUUUAGGUUGGGGUGACCUCGGAAUAUAAAAAAACUCCCGAGUGAUUAAAAUUUAGACCCACAAGUCAAAAUACAACAUCACUUAUUGAUCCAAUAAUUUUUGAUCAACGGAACAAGUUACCCUAGGGAUAACAGCGCAAUCCUAUUCAAGAGUCCAUAUCGACAAUAGGGUUUACGACCUCGAUGUUGGAUCAGGACAUCCUAAUGGUGCAGCAGCUAUUAAGGGUUCGUUUGUUCAACGAUUAAAGUCCU
rnacentral:rRNA from 2 species